CGCGGGCUAUUGGCUUCGGUGCCGACCUCGCAUUCGCCGCUCGCUCCAUCGACGAUAUGCGCCGCCCCAACCUCUGCUCGUGUAGAGCAUGCCUAUCCCCCGGCCGAUUCGCAGCGUGGCUGGAGAAGGGAGCUCGAGGCCUCGAGCGCUGCCGCCCAUUCAUCUCCCGAGCCCAAGUGCCGACGACCGAUUUGAGCCUGUCCUUCGCCGAUUCGAGCCAGUCCGCACCGAUUCGUCGUCCUCCACAGGCCCUCCGUCCCAAGGUCGUCAGGCUGGAGGUCCCGCAGGUCCACUGCGGAGCUCGCUCACGCAGGCCCAUGGCUGGAUCUCGCACGGAUCCGGCAAGGACUGGUCCGGCAGCUCCCUGCUACGACGUUCUUAUCGGGUGGCUUUUCAUUGGAGGCAGUGGUGAGGUCGUUGAACUCCUCAGUCCCCUUCCCCUUUCCUCGAUGUCACAGCUCGAUCUUUCAUUGUUCUGCAUACACGUGUGUGGUUCAGUGGACAAUUCGAUUGGUCAGAAAGUCAGAACCAUAUCUACAUCGUCGAUUUGAGUUGCUCCCUGAGAUUCUGCAUCAUGGGUCGGUGCCGGAGCUUGUAUUGUGAAUUUGUGAUCCAGAUUAUUGGAUUCUUGUUUCUGUAACCUGUAAAUGUCAAUUGAGCUUGAUAGAAUAUUUGGUUUGAGUUUCUAUUUUUCUAAGUCUGAACUAAUUGAUGAAAACCAGAUGUUCUACGAUGCUGCUAGUGUUAUAAUACAACCUAUAUGUUUUUCUUAGACAUGAAUACACUCUCGCUAGUCCAA